rnacentral:snRNA from 1 species
AUACUUACCUGGCAGGGGAGAUACCAUGAUCACGAAGGUGGUUUUCCCAGGGCAAGGCUUAUCCAUUGCACUCCGGAUGUGCUGACCCCUGCGAUUUCCCCAAAUGUAGGAAACUCGACUGCAUAAUUUGUGGUAGUGAGGGACUGCGUUCGCGCUUUCCCCUG